UACGUAGGCGGUCUGAUAAGUCAGGUGUGAAAGGCUGUGGCUCAACCACGGAAUUGCACUUGAUACUGCCAGACUUGAGUUAGGGAGAGGUACACGGAAUGCAUCAUGUAGCGGUGAAAUGCUUAGAUAUGAUGUAGAACACCGAUAGCGAAGGCAGUGUGCCAUACCUAAACUGACGCUGAGGUACGAAAGCGUGGGUAGCGAACA
rnacentral:rRNA from 1 species